CAACAAACUGCACAAAUCAGGCACGGGCUCCGCUGCUGAGCAGGAUCAUGAAAAUGAUGAGGGUCUCAAACCAGUUGUGUUCUACAAUCAAGUAGCAGGUCUUUCUCAAGAACCACCAGUGUUUCCCCCAUCCGCAUCAGGGUCAACGUACUCCUCCACUACCUCCACCACGGCAACUUCCUCCACAUCAGGUUUGAUGUCUAUUGUGCUGCCCUCAGACGAACUGGUGUCAUCCAGCUAGGACAAACAGAACACCAGAGAGAGAUGAGCUCAACCUCUGACUUUCUCUCUGAACUUCACAGGCUCAGCAGUGGGAAGCUGGGGGCAGCCGAAUGGAUUCCUGCCUCUCUGAUUGGCUGUCAGCAGCUCUGUCUGUGUCUCCUCCCUGCAGUGUUCCCUGUGGCUGGCUGUGGUGCAGGGAGGAUUGGUGUGUGGUUGGUGGAGGAAGCCCAGUGGAAAAAUGGACCUGGUGCAGGUCCUGAAGUGAUGCUGCUGCAUUAUCUCCUCUCUUCCUGCUACAAACCAGGUCAAGGUGACCCAUGAAUCAUACUUCCCUACAAGCUUUGGGCCUGUCUUAUCCUUCUCACACAUUAGCACUAUACAGUAGACGGCAUGUUUCUCUGUCGCCCGGUCAGGACCGCCUUUCUAUCCGUCCCUCUUGAGUCAGCACUCAGGCUCAUUGUUACAGCUCUUGUGUCUAAAUGGAUGUUCUAAAAUGUCAAAUAAACUCAAUGUCUU